rnacentral:lncRNA from 1 species
AUGUAUCACGGGAUUAGGGACGUGGACAUCUUUGGGGCCAUUAAACAUCUUUGGGGCCAUUAUUCCGUCUCCCACGUGGGAUUAGGACGUGGACAUCUUUGGGGCCAUUAUUCUGUCUCCACAUGUGGACAGGGAUCGACAUCUUUUGGGGUUGUUCACCACCCACCACGUGAUUGUUUGUUUGUUUUUCUUGGGGACAGAGUUCUUCUGCCACCCAGGCUGGAGUGGUGCGAUCUCGGGCUCACUGCAACCUCUGCCUCCCCGGGUUCAAGCAAUUCUCCUGCCUCAGCCUCCCGAGUAGCUGGGAUAACAGGCACCUGCCACCACGCCCGGCUAAUUCUGUAUUUUUAGUAGAGAUGGGAUUUCUCCAUGUUGGUCAGGCUGGUCUCAAACUCCUGACCUCAGGUGAUCCGCCCGCCUCGGCCUCCUAAAGCGCUGGGAUGACAGGCGUGAGCCACCACGCCCGGCCCCACCCCCCACUGAAGUUCCCCCGAUUUCCUUGUUGGCCGUGAUGCUUUCCAACUCGAAUUCCUGAGAUCUGAACGUCCAGCCAUGUGACUAGGAGGGAUCAACCGGCAGGCGAGGCACCUGACGGUGUAAACCCGUCCCCCACCGCCCUGUUGCAGGAGGGUUGUUUGUGGCCGGCACCAACCUCACGGAGAACCUGCAGUACGUCCUGGCGCACCCGUCCGAGUCCCUGGAGAAGAUGACGCUGCCCAACCUUCCCCGGCUGAGCGCGUGGGUCCGAGAGCAGCGCCCGGGGCCGGGCUCACGGUGCACCAACGUCAUCGCGGGCGACUUCAUCGGAGCGGACAGCUUCGUCGGGGACGUCAUCGCUCUCAACCAGAAGCUGCUUUGGUGCUGACGUGGGGGUUCAGGACGCGGGGGCUGAAGUUUCACCCCCUACUUCCAAGUACCGUGACUUUGUUGGGGCCAAAUAUUGGGGAUCAUAGGACCGAUCAUAUGUUUUCUUUUUCUUUUUUUUUUUUUUUAAAUAGAGAUGGGGUGGUCGGGCGCGGUGGCUCACGCCUGAUCCCAGCACUUUGGGAGGCCGAGGCGGGCGGAUCACAGGUUCAAAAGUUCAAGACCAGCCUGACCAACAUGGUGAAACCCCAUCUCUACUAAAAAGACAAAAAUUAGCCGGGCAAGUUGGCAGGUGCCUGUACUCCCAGCUACUCGGGAGGCUGAGGCAGGAGAAUUGCUGGAACCCGGGAGGCGGAGAUUGCACUGAGCCGACAUCCUGCCAUUGCACCCCAGCCUGGGUCGCAGAGCGAGACUUAUCUCAAAAAAAAAAAAAAAAAUAGAGAUGGGCUCUCGCUCUGUUGGCCCGGUCGCUCUGGAACUCCUGGCCUCAAGUGAUCCUCCCCUCAGCCUCCCAAAGUGCUGGGAGGACAGGCAGGAA